UACAGAGGGUGCAAGCGUUGUUCGGGAUCAUUGGGCGUAAAGGGCGUGUAGGCGGUUUGUUAAGUCAUGUGUGAAAUCCCUCGGCUCAACCGGGGAACGACGCAUGAAACUGGCAAGCUAGAGUACCAAAGAGGGGGGUGGAAUUCUCGGUGUAGCGGUGAAAUGCGUAGAUAUCGGGAGGAACACCUGUGGCGAAGGCGACCCCCUGGUUGGAUACUGACGCUGAGACGCGAAAGCGUGGGGAGCAAACAGG
rnacentral:rRNA from 1 species